rnacentral:rRNA from 1 species
GACGAACGCUGGCGGCGUGCUUAACACAUGCAAGUCGAACGGAAAGGCCCUGCUUUUGUGGGGUGCUCGAGUGGCGAACGGGUGAGUAACACGUGAGUAACCUGCCCUUGACUUUGGGAUAACUUCAGGAAACUGGGGCUAAUACCGGAUAGGAGCUCCUGCUGCAUGGUGGGGGUUGGAAAGUUUCGGCGGUUGGGGAUGGACGCGCGGCUUAUCAGCUUGUUGGUGGGGUAGUGGCUUACCAAGGCUUUGACGGGUAGCCGGCCUGAGAGGGUGACCGGCCACAUUGGGACUGAGAUACGGCCCAGAGUCCUACGGGAGACAGCAGUGGGGAAUAUUGCACAAUGGGCGGAAGCCUGAUGCAGCAACGCCGCGUGCGGGAUGACGGCCUUCGGGUUGUAAACCGCUUUCGCCUGUGACGAAGCGUGAGUGACGGUAAUGGGUAAAGAAGCACCGGCUAACUACGUG